rnacentral:misc_RNA from 1 species
GAUGAAGAACGUAGCGAAAUGCGAUAAGUAGUGUGAAUUGCAGAAUUCAGUGAAUCAUCGAAUCUUUGAACGCACAUUGCGCCCCUUGGUAUUCCAUGGGGCAUGCCUGUUCGAGCGUCAUCUACACCCUCAAGCUCUGCUUGGUGUUGGGCGUCUGUCCCGCCUUUGCGCGUGGACUCGCCCCAAAUUCAUUGGCAGCGGUCCUUGCCUCCUCUCGCGCAGCACAUUUGCGCUUCUCGAGGUGCGCGGGCCGCGUCCACGAAGCAACUAUUACCGUCUUCGACCUCGGAUCAGGUAGGGAUACCCGCUGAACUUAAGCAUAUCAAUAAGCGGAGGA